ensembl:lncRNA
ACCUGUCUAUUUACCACCUGAGUCCUGGAAGUAUGCAGCAUCGCUGGUGAAGUAAGCUUUUAAGCCACUGUCUCACUCACGUGCACCGACGCCAGUAUCCUGUACUGAGAAGACUUCUUACCUCCCUAGGUACCGUCUGAGUCUGGAAGUACGCAGCAUCGCUGAGGAAGUAAGCUUUUAAAUUAUUCUUUCUAAUGUGCCCCGGCGAAAGUAUUCUGUACUGCGAGGGAUGCUUACCUGUCUACUCACCGUCGGAGUCCCGAAGGAUGCAGUAUUUCUGCCCUAGGAAGGAACAUAUUGCUGUGGGGAAAUUCUUGCCUUCUUACUUACCGUCUGAGUCUGGAAGUAUGCAGCAUUGCUGAGGAAGCAAGCUUUUAAAUUACUCUUUCUCUAAUGUGCCCUGACGAAAGUAUUCUGUACUGCGAAGAACCCUGACCUGUCUACUCACCGACGGAGUCCUGAAGAAUGCAGCAUUGUUGGUGAAGUAAUCUUUUAAACCACUGUCUCACUACUGUGUAUUGACGCAAGUAUCCUUGACUGAGAAGUAUCCUUAUCUGUAGACUCACUGCCCGAGUCUUGAAGAGAGCCGCCCUAUUGGUGAAGUCGCCGUCAGGGCGAAACUGCGACGUACGAUCAGUACCUAUCCGUAGCUGAAGAAGACCUAGAGGACACUGAAGUCUAUCACGCUUGUGCUCACUGAUAUAUUGUGCUCAAUAAAGAUUGUUAUUCCUUUGAAGUUACCUCUUGUCUGCGUUGUCCAUCUGUUGCGGACCUGUGGUGUCGGCUCCUCACGGUGGGGUCUAAGUAAGGGGUGGCUGGUCAUCCGAGUCCACCCCGGUGACAUAAAGUGGCGUAGUCGGCAGGGUUCCCACCGUGAGUUGUAGCGGCCACAGGUACGCGAUGGUGGACGAAGAGGCACCAGCGGCUCGUCCGCAAGUCAUGCCGAUCUUUAUGGGAGCUCCCUGGGCACAGCGUUAUGGAGGGCCAGGAUCGGAGUUAGGCUUGCACUAUUGGAAGGCGCAGACGGAAUAUCUGGCCGGAUUACAGGGACUGAGUGCAUCACAGAAAGUACAGUUUGUGUUGGGAUCUUUGGAAGGAGAAGCCAAAAGAGAAGUUCUUGCUGCAUCAGAAGCCACACGGGCUACCGCGAAAACUAUCUUUGAUUUCUUGUCAGGACUAUAUGGAGACUCUACCCCGGUGGCCACUCUUCGUGCCCAGUUCUUUAGCUGUCGACAGGGGCCUAGGCAGACUCUUCGGGCAUACUCCCUGAAAUUGCGGGAGCAGUUUGGCCGGCUGAAGGGACGACAGGAUCAUGGACUAGGUGAAGGAGAUGUCUUGUUACGAGACCAAUUUGUCUUGGGGCUGCGUGAGGGGCCGGUACGUCAGGCCAUACGUCUUCAGCUUCGACGAGACCCCACUAUGACCUUUGAGGCUCUGCGACAAGAGGCCUUGGCAUUGGAAUUCGAUCAGGGAGAGAUGACUCAUACACCUGUUUGUGUGGCAGCAAGUAGUGCCAGUGGACCCGCGCCUGUCGAGCCGAGUGAUUGGAAACAGAAACUGAGAACUGAACUAUUGGAGGAUGUCAAGGGACAGAUGGCGGAACUAUCUCGGAACCUGUUGGGUGAAUUCCGUCGGGGUCGAGUCGAGGGUGGGUCGAUGGUGAGAGAGAGGUCGUAUUCGGAGGAGGGGCGAGGUCCUGUGCGCCGCCCCCUACGACCUGUGGGCCCCCGGUUCCAGUGGGAUGACCAGGGGAGGCCCAUCUGUAUUAAUUGUGGAGGUCCGGGACACAUCAGUCGUCAGUGUGGGCUCCGUCGGGGUUCUCAAGGGGGUUUUUAGUCCCACCGGCCACUGUGGGUCAAGUGGCCGGGACCCCUUUGUGUGACCCUUCUUCUGUUCCUGCUUUACGAGAUGACUGGGUUGGGCGUUGUCCCACCAUGGAGGUUCAAGCUAAUGGAGUCACGAUAAAUUGUCUGGUUGAUACAGGUUCUCAAGUUACAUUAUUCUUGGAGAGUCUGGCCCAGGAGUUGUUUGCAGAUCGUCGGCUCCAAGCAAUGGAAGCUUCCCGGCUGACUUUACGGGGGGCACAUCCCCUACACUGGGUACAUCGUGGUAGACUUUCUGGUCCGAGGGGUUCCCGUCCAACAGAAAGGGGUUGUUAUCGUUUGAGAUCAUUGCUUGGGCAUUCAUCGAGCACUCCUAGGGAUGAAUGUUAUACUGGAUUGCUGGGAGGAAUUGUUCCGGGGCCGGCCGGCUCGGACGUCUUUGUCAUCGGCAAGGCAGGACUGGGACCGAAUUCUGGCCGAUUGCCAAAGAGUGCACGCAGCUAGUCAAGUGGAGGAGAGAGAGGACAUCGGUCGAGUUGCCUGUCGGUACGCUUUGUCUGUUCCAGCUCAGAGCGAGACGGUUCUUUGGGUCCGAGUGCCUUCAGGACCCCGUGGGUCGGGUACCUGUGUUCUGGUGGAGCCUCAUGAGGACUGUCAGCCCAUCGAAGUGGCUCAAGGGCUGGGGGUCAUCCAUCGAGGGCGAGUCUCAGUAAAGGUGCGGAACGCCCAUCCUUACCCCGUGCUCCUUCGUCAACAACAAAACGUCUGGUCCGAGUUUCCUUGGUAUGUCCUGUCCAGGUUUAUGAGCAUCAGGAUGUCUGCUUCAGGCUGGUGAGCUCUGCGGUGGUGGAAGUCACCGUCCGCCCAGUUGAGGCAGAACCGGGCCCUGUGGGAGGAGGGGUGCUGACCCAUUUGAUGGGAGAGUCCCUGAAGGGUGAGAAUCUGGAGGAGGGGCAAGUGUUACAGCUCCAGGAGCUCUUGAGAAAAUGGCAACAUGUGUUCUCGACCCACGAAGAAGACUAUGGCUGCACAGGGGUAGUGAAGCAUCAAAUACCCACGGGUGAGGCGAUGCCUAGCCGAGAGCGGUACCGUCCAGUGCCACCCAUUCUCUAUGCUGAGGUCCGCGGCCUGUUGAAAGGGAUGUUGGAGGGAGGAAUCGUUCGAGAGAGCAGUAGUCCGUGGGCGGCGCCAAUCAUUUUGGUGCAGAAGAAAACGGGAGCUUGGAGAUUCUGCGUUG